GCUUUGGCAGUUUGAAUUAUCUCCAACGUCUCUUAUUUUUCCCAUCCAGUCUGUCACCACGGCCAGUGUGGUCUUGGCGUAUGUCCUCAUGAGGAAAUUCGGGAUGAUUCUAGCAUCCUGGGUCCAUUGGCAGGGUGUUUGAGAUGCUGGCUAUGCUACUUCCUUUUAGCUCUUUGAAUUCAAUAUCUCAGUGGCAGCGAAUGAAGAAUUUCUGCACAGAGACUGAAGACCAGCUGUUCUCAAUAUUGACUCGGCUCUGCAGAGUGGAAACUGAUUUGAAUAGCAUCAUGAGAGACUUAGAUUACAGAUGAGAGAAUUUUCUGACACUUGACCUACGAAGAACUGUCAAGACAGCCGGCGAGGGGUUGUGUCGGAGGCAGUAAUGGCUCCUUUAACAACAGAGAACAGAAAAAUCUCAAAAGUGAAGCCUAUUGUCAAGGGACUCACAUUGCCCUGGCUGACUUCCAAGAAUAGAAGAAGGAAUGAAGGAAUGGUUCCUGACCCUGGAGAGUGGAGUACAAGAGAGAGAAAUGCAUUUAGUGCCAAUGACAGUGUUUGAGUGUUAAUCACACUAUAUCAACUUGAAUGGAUGGAGAAACACCUAGUGGAUUAUCAAAGCACAGUUCUGAGUGUAUCUGCAGGUAACUGACAUGUAGGCUAAAACUGAAGUGGGGAGACCCACCCAGUUGUGGGCGGCAAACACCGAUAGGUUCAUAGCUUGGAUAGAAGAAAAAUGGAAAGAGAAGGGAAGUGUAUCUGUUUUGAAGAGCUUCAGUCUCCAGUUUCUACAGCUUUCAAUGCAGACUCACCCUCAUGGCUCUCCAGUGAGCUUUGAGGUCUUCGACUUUGAACUGGUGUUGCAUCCUGAUCCCUUUUGUUCUGUGGCUCGUAUAUCCUGGGCUGAACUGCUGCAAGAUCUUCUAGCUCUCCAGGGUGCAGACAGCCAUGGUGGACUCUCCUGCCUUUCAUCCUGAAAUCCUACCUAAUA